rnacentral:rRNA from 1 species
CAUACCUAUUCGAAGGGAUAGGGUCGGUUUGGCCGGAUUUCACACAGGUGUUGCAUGGCUGUCGUCAGCUCGUGUCGUGAGAUGUUGGGUUAAGUCCCGCGACGAGCGCAACCCUCAUCCUUAGUUACCAUCAGGUUAUGCUGGGGACUUUAAGGAAACUGCCAGUGAUAAACUGGAGGAAGGUGGGGAUGAUGUCAAGUCAUCAUGGCCCUUAUGGAGUGGGCUACACACGUGCUACAAUGGUGAUUACAAUGGGCUGCAAGGUCGCAAGGCUGAGCUAAUCCUAAGAAAUCAUCUCAGUUCGGAUUGUUCUCUGCAACUCGAGUACAUGAAGUUGGAAUCGCUAGUAAUCGUGGAUCAGCAUGCUACGGUGAAUACGUUCUCGGGUCUUGUACACACUGCCCGUCACGCCAUGGGAAUUGGUUUCACUCGAAGCU